GCCCCCUUUGACGGCAUGUCUAUUUAACAUUGGAAGGAUACAGAGGUUACCAUGACCCUUGCCCAAGGAUGAUGUACAAAUUCAUGAAACACUCCACAUUUAA
ensembl:snRNA LOC120095716 U6 spliceosomal RNA